GAGUGCUUAGCUUAGCGGCUAAAGCAAUGGCCUCAUAAGCCAGAGAGCGUUGGUUCGAAUCCCACAGCACUCA
rnacentral:tRNA from 1 species